GUGCUUUGGCCUUCUUUCAGGCGGUGGGUAAGAUCCUACUCACCUGAAGGGAUAAUUUUGUCAUUUGGGUGAUUACUUCAAUACUUUUGACGAGAUCAAGCAUCUAUUUGAAAAACAGAAGGAAAAGUUUUAUUGAUGUCCAUGGAGGGAAUCUAAAAUACAUGAAGGGAGCCUAUGUCUACAACAAAAUCAGCAUUUAUUGAUAUUGAUGAUUUUGACAAACUACUGAACCAGUUACAACUUGAAGCUCUAGUUAGAUAUGUUGCUUUUUAAGAUGUAGGAGGCAAUGGGGCUUGUUAGAGUGUAUUUGAAGCCCCAUGGCAAAGGCCUAAUUACUUCAAGUCUUUUAUUCUCUACUCGAG